rnacentral:rRNA from 1 species
UUGUUUGGAGAGUUUGAUCCCGGCUCAGGAUAAACGCUGGCGGCGUGCUUUAUGCAUGCAAGUCGAACGGUCUCGAUUUAUCGGGAUAGUGGCGAACGGGUGAGUAACGCGUAAGUAACCUGCCCUCAAGUAGAGGAUAACUCUGAGAAAUUGGAGCUAAUACUGUAUGUGGUAAUGGAGGUAAUGCUUCAUUACUAAAGCCUUAGGGUGCUUGGGGAGGGGCUUGCGUCCGAUUAGCUAGUUGGUAGGGUAACGGCUUACCAAGGCGAUGAU